rnacentral:rRNA from 1 species
AAUCCCGACACGGGGAGGUAGUGACAAUAAAUAACAAUAUAGGAUCCUCUCGGGUCUUAUAAUUGGAAUGAGUACAAUUUAAAUCCCUUAACGAGGAACAAUUGGAGGGCAAGUCUGGUGCCAGCAGCCGCGGUAAUUCCAGCUCCAAUAGCGUAUAUUAAAGUUGUUGCAGUUAAAAAGCUCGUAGUUGAACUUCAGGCCUGGCUGGGUGGUCUGCCUAACGGUGUGUACUGUCCGGCUGGGCCUUACCUCUUGGUGAGCCGGCAUGCCCUUCACUGGGUGUGUUGGGGAACCAGGACUUUUACCUUGAGAAAAUUAGAGUGUUCAAAGCAGGCCUAUGCCUGAAUACAUUAGCAUGGAAUAAUAAAAUAGGACGUGCGGUUCUAUUUUGUUGGUUUCUAGAGUCGCCGUAAUGAUUAAUAGGGAUAGUUGGGGGCAUUAGUAUUCAGUUGCUAGAGGUGAAAUUCUUGGAUUUACUGAAGACUAACUAUUGCGAAAGCAUUUGCCAAGGAUGUUUUCAUUAAUCAAGAACGAAGGUUAGGGGAUCGAAAACGAUCAGAUACCGUUGUAGUCUUAACAGUAAACUAUG